rnacentral:lncRNA from 1 species
GACCACGGCACAGACCUCACAUGUCGAGUGGCCUUCCCCGGAGCUGGAGCCGGCGUGAGCUUCCAGAGCACCAUCAGGCUGAACGUGUCAUAUGCUCCAGAGAAUCUGACCGUCCACGUCUUCCGGGGAAAGAGCACAGGCUGAGCUGGACCCGGGGGAACCUGACCCUGAGCCCCUCCCAGCCCCUGGAUCCCGGGGUCCUGGAGCUGCCCCGCAUGGUCUUGGGGGACGGAGGGGAGUUCACCUGCUGAGCUCAGCACCGGAGCGUCUCGUACCAUGUCUCCUUGAACCUAGUCAUGCAGGGUGAGCGGACCUGCGCCUCUCAUGGGAAGUCUGAUGACGGGCCCCCACGUUCCAAGCUGCAUCUGCAAACUACACCACAGCUCAUGGCAACACUGGAUCCCUAACCCACUGAGCAAGGCCAGGGAUAGAACCUGCGUCCUCAUGGUUCCUAGUCGGAUUCAUUUCUGCUGCACCACAACAGGAACUCCUGGGUUCCGAGACCAGCUCAGCAGGUUGGGGCUGAAGAACGGGUGCUGUGAAACAUAAGGAAUAAAGUUAACAUCAAACAAGACA